rnacentral:sRNA from 1 species
AAACCCAGCACAGGGUGCUCAGCAGGGUCAGGGGCACCAGUUUGUUCCAGGGGUGGGCUGGAGCCUGCCUUCUUCACCAGGCUGCUGUGCCCCUGUGUGCUUGCUUGGGGACUUGGCCAGAACAUUCUUUCUCUUUAGUUGUCCUUUCUAACUUCAGAAAGGACUUCACCCCACUGCCCUGGCCCAGGAGUGUUGGGUACAAAUGUCUGCCCAGCUAGCCCAGCUCCAGGGACCACAGCCGCUUUGUCAACUGUGUGCGAUUCUCUCCUGAUGGGAACAGAUUUGCCACAGCCAGUGCUGAUGGCCAGAUAUACAUCUAUGACGGGAAGACUGGGGAGAAGGUGUGCGCGCUGGGCGGAAGCAAGGCCCACGACGGUGGGAUUUACGCAAUUAGUUGGAGUCCCGACAGCACCCAUUUGCUUUCUGCUUCUGGGGACAAAACUUCCAAGAUUUGGGACGUCAGUGUGAACUCCGUGGUCAGCACAUUUCCCAUGGGCUCCACGGUUCUGGACCAGCAGCUGGGCUGCCUAUGGCAGAAGGACCACCUGCUCAGU